AAAGACGAUCCGGAUGGUCCUUUCCCAAGCAGAUGGGAAGAUGACGAGUCCUCGGUGAAUGGCAAGAGACCCAUAGAAAUUUUCUCUGAAAAGUAUCACCUGUGGUGGCCUUUCUUGACAACUACAUUGGUGGCGAUCAAGGGAGAUGAGGCUUUGGUCGCUGGUGGAGGUGCGUUUAGUGUCAUCCUUGCAAGCAAGAACGAGGAAUUUGUUGUCAACUAUAAGGGCCUAGAUGUCAAGGACCAGGACACGAUCAUCGUGGACAAGGUGGAUCUUUUGAAGGAGCAAGUUAUUCUGCUAGUGCCGCAAGGAUUACACAAGAAUGCCCUGGACAGUUCAUUUACCAGGCUGAUCGAAAAGCAU